rnacentral:rRNA from 1 species
GAACUAACAAGGAUUCCCCUAGUAACGGCGAGUGAAGAGGGAAGAGCUCAAAUUUUAAAUCUGCCUUGUUUCAAGGUCGAGUUGUAAUUUGAAGAAGCGUUUUCUUGGGCUCGCGGCCGGUAGAAGUUCUUUGGAACAGGACAUCAUAGAGGGUGACAAUCCCGUCUCGACCGGUCGUGCGUUCAUCUACGAUACGCUUUCAAAGAGUCGAGUUGUUUGGGAUUGCAGCUCCAAAUGGGUGGUAAACAUCACCUAAGGCUAAAUAUUGGCGAGAGACCGAUAGCGAACAAGUACCGUGAGGGAAAGAUGAAAAGAACUUUGAAAAGAGAGUUAAACAGUACGUGAAAUUGUUGAAAGGGAAACGAUUGAAGUCAGUCGUGCUGGCGCGAAAUCAACCCUCUCRUCGAGAGGACACAUGGKGUGGCGAGCCUCAAAACCGKCACAAAGCGUGAACUCUUGGCGAAAAGGAGCACUUUCGUGUCCGCUGGUUAACAUCAAUUUCGAACGUCAUAAAAAGGCUGGAGGGAUGUGGCUCCUUCGGGAGUGUUAUAACCUUUAGCGGAAUGUGGUGGUCGGGAUUGAGGAUUGCAACGAAUACCUUUAGGGCUGUUCCACCUGGCUUCUCUUUGGUAUCCUGGUGACGACAGCUUGCUGACGUUGUUAGGAUUCGCCUUUGAACAGGCUAGAGUGUGAGCAAAUUCGUUAAGGAUGUUAACGUAAUGGCUUUAAACGACC